rnacentral:lncRNA from 1 species
UUUGUGCUGAUAAUUUUGGUGUGUUUGAUUUAAUUUUCCGAAUAAAUUCAUACUCAUUUUUCUAUUUCUAAUUGGUCAUUUUUAUUAGUUAUUUAAUCAAAACAAUUAAAAUUUGUUUUAAUUAAAUACUAAUUAGUUUUUUAUGUUUUAUUAUUUAGGUAUUUAACAAUUAUGAGAAUAUGUAUAUAUUUGCAUUGGAUUCUCUUUUCUUAAAAAAAAAA